rnacentral:rRNA from 1 species
CUUAAGCAUAUCAAUAAGCGGAGGAAAAGAAACCAACAGGGAUUGCCCUAGUAACGGCGAGUGAAGCGGCAACAGCUCAAAUUUGAAAUCUGGCGCAAGCCCGAGUUGUAAUUUGUAGAGGAUGCUUCUAGGUAGCGACCGGUCUAAGUUCCUUGGAACAGGACGUCAUAGAGGGUGAGAAUCCCGUAUGUGACCGGCCCGCGCCUUCCACGUAGCUCCUUCGACGAGUCGAGUUGUUUGGGAAUGCAGCUCUAAAUGGGAGGUAAAUUUCUUCUAAAGCUAAAUACCGGCCAGAGACCGAUAGCGCACAAGUAGAGUGAUCGAAAGAUGAAAAGCACUUUGGAAAGAGAGUUAAAAAGCACGUGAAAUUGUUGAAAGGGAAGCGCUCACAACCAGACUUCUGGGCGGUGUUCCGCCGGUCUUCUGACCGGUCUACUCGCCGUCCCGAGGCCAACAUCAUCUGGGACCGCCGGAUAAGACCUCAGGAAUGUGGCUCCCCUCGGGGAGUGUUAUAGCCUGUGGUGAUGCGGCGCGUCUCGGGUGAGGUCCGCGCUUCGGCAAGGAUGUUGGCGUAAUGGUUGUCAGCGGCCCGUCUUGAAACACGGACCAAGGAGUCUAACAUCUAUGCGAGUGUUCGGGUGUCAAACCCCUACGCGUAAUGAAAGUGAACGGAGGUGGGAAGGGUAACCUGCACCAUCGACCGAUCCUGAUGUCCUCGGAUGGAUUUGAGUAAGAGCAUAGCUGUUGGGACCCGAAAGAUGGUGAACUAUGCCUGAAUAGGGUGAAGCCAGAGGAAACUCUGGUGGAGGCUCGCAGCGGUUCUGACGUGCAAAUCGAUCGUCAAAUUUGGGUAUAGGGGCGAAAGACUAAUCGAACCAU